AGUCUCUCAUAGAAACUUCUGGCCUCUGGACACUGUGGGAGCAACUUUUCCUUUAUUAGACUGUCUCCUCUUUAACUGAAGAUACUUUAGCACAGCAAGCAUCUCUUUUAUGCUUACAUUAUGCAGUUAUGCAGACUUGGUGAGAUAGACCAGUGCAAUGGACCUCAUAACCACAUACAAUCUAGUUUUAUGGGGAAACUCCUUGUAUAAAAGAAUAUUGCAGCAUGACUGGGAAGCCUGUCCUUCAUUACUUCAAUUGAAGAAGAAGAAUGGAGUCCAUCCGGUGGCUCCUGGCAGCAGCUGGAGUAGAGUUUGAGGAAGAACUUUUUGAAACCCAUGAAGAGUUUGAGAAGUUAAUCCAAGGUGGAACCCUGAUGUACGAGCAAGUGCCCAUGGUGGAAAUCGAUGGAAUGACUUUGGUGCAGACCAGUGCCAUCUUAAGAUAUGUAGCUGCAAAAUAUGACUUGUAUGGAAGGAACCUGGAGGAACAAGCCUGAAGAGAAGGAGAUGAACCUUGAAUACAUCCUCCACCGAGCUACAACAAGAUUCUUCCCCGUUUAUGAGAAGGCCCUGAGAGACCACGGGCAAGACUUUCUUGUGGGCAAUCGGCUGAGCUUGGCUGAUGUCCAGCUCCUUGAAGUCAUCUUAAUGGCUGAAGAAUGCAAAGCCAGUGUUCUCUCGGGUUUCCCUCUGCUACAGGACUUCAAGGUGAGAACCAGCCAAAUUCCUACAAUUAACAGCUUCCUCCAACCUGGAAGCCAGAGGAAGCCUCCUUUGGAGGAGCGAUCCAUUGGGACUGCAAAGGACAUAUUCAAAUUUGAAUGAGGACUGUUUCUUAAAAACAUGAGCAAUAUAGUAGCUGAGUAUUAACAGCUACAGAGGCUGGAGUUACUCAGUAAGUAUACUGAGUAACUUGACACUGCAUUCAUAAAAAGACACUCACUAAGUAUAUGGCCAGAGAAAUAUCCUGAAGUUAGUAAUAAAUGUUAGGAAUCUUAGUAUGUUAGCAAUGUUAGAAUGUUAGUAAUGGAAAUAUUAAAUGUGUAAGAGAAAAACUACUAGAAGCUUAUCAAUAAACUACAAGAACCAACUCUUGUUUGAAGUAAGACAGGCUACCAAGACAGAAUUCAGAAAAUCCAAGGAGCCCUCGGCCUUCUGUAUGAUCCUAGAAUAAACUUGUAUGUAGCAAGUGAAA
rnacentral:lncRNA from 1 species